rnacentral:lncRNA from 1 species
CCCUGACAGAGUCUAUGGGGAGGAGCCCAUCAGCAGAUUGCGUGUCUGCUAAGACCAGCCUGUCUUAAUGCAGAGAUGCACGUCACCAGAAGAGCGCUCACCAGGUGAUGGUUUGCCGCAGGAAACUGGGGAGAUCAUCUCCGAAGGGUUGAUACCCGUGUCAGUGGAGGGAGACUACCCAGGUGGAUGCAGGAUUCAUUCAUCUCAGAAGAUCCAGAACCUCCCCACCUCCAUGAUGGAUACCAGUCCGCACAAGCAUUGCUGGAGAAGCUUGCUGGUGAGGUGAAGCCGUCAUGGCCCAGGAGGGACUGGGUUGGUCUCUUUUGGCUUUAACAGCAACACCAACAAUUAUAACUAGCAUUUGUGUAGUGCUUUAAUGUUUACGAUGCAUUUUACACACGUUAUCUCGUUUGAUUUCAUUAGAGGAGAUAUCCUGCAGGCCUUCUGUGGUUUUGACUUGUCUGCGGUCCGUGUGUUUGCCAGAUUCUUUUAGGCCUUCAGAAAUACACCUUCAUCACUCUUUCAUCCUUUCCUGCCUGUGUGUGGGCUAGAUUUGCUAUCGUGCUGUCGUAGGUUUAAAUACAUGGAAGAAGGCUUGACCUUUGAUCC